CAGCUCCUCCCUAGCCCCGCGCGCGGCGGGAGCACCUGGGGAGAAGAGUCCUGGCGUCGCCUGCUACCAGCGCCGCGCUCCUCUGAACAAACACUGCCGGAGCCCUCCGUGAGCCGGCUAUUCCAGCCCAGCCCCGCGUCCGCCCGUCCCGCAGCAGGCGCGGUGAAUCGUGCGCGCUGGCGGACGAGGCGGGCUCGGCAGGACGCUGCUGUGCCGUCCCGUGUGGAUUUGGCUCCAGGUCGUCCUGAGGAUGCCGCGCAGAAGCCGUGUGGGCCUCGGGACGCAGGCCUGCGUGGCUGCAGCGCACCAGGGGAGGCUCCGGGGAUCCCGAGCUGGCGCGGACUCGCGAGACCCCCUGGCCGCUCUGCGGGGAGCGCUGGGGAGGCGUCCCGAGCGGGCGCCAGAGACCCGCGGGCUCCCCGUGCAGGGGCUGCCUGGGCUGGGGCCCGGGUGGGUCUGCGCAGGUGUGGGAAGUGCCGGCUCCCGGUAGAUGCUGAAGGCGGAGUUGCCAGGAUUUGCUGCGGACUUUUGGAGAAAUGAGGCGGGGAAGGACGAGCUUGAGAACCGACGCCGGAGAGACGGGGAAGACGGGGGAGGCCUGAGCGCGGGCUGGCAUGGCUGGGGAGGUUGUGCACUGCCCAAGAAUGCUCACUGAGGAGCGUGUUCACGUCUCAUCGUGGGUGUCUGUGUUUAUUAUGACUCACCGAGGGCCAGCGGCGCUGGGGCCAGGGGCUGGAGUUUGGAGAGUGAGCAGAGAGCACGCAGGGGCUGUGAACACCAACUUCUCUUUCAGGUCAAUUUGCUGCAAAGGGGAAGGUAAAGGUGGAGGUAACUAAGGAGCAGGGCAAGAGAGGGGUGUGGUUUUCUGUAGGGUCCAGCCCUACGGGGGCUUAGCAGGUGUCCUCCCCGUGUGCAGAGACCAGAGAUUGUAAUAAAGACACGAGAUAAAGAGCAGCUGGGCCCCGGGGGACCACUACCAUCAAGACGUGGAGACCGGUAGUGGCCCUGAGCGCCUAGGUGCGCUGAUAUUUAUUGCAUACAAGACAAGGGGGCAGGGUAAGGAGGGUGAAUCUUCUAAGUGAUAAAGUGAAGCAAGUCACGUGAUCAUAGGACAGGGGGCCCUUCCCUCUUAGGCAGCCGAAGCAAAGAGAGAAGGCAGCAUAUGUCAGCAUUUUCUUCUCUGCACUUAGAAGAACGAUCAAAGACUUUAAGACUUUCACUAUUUCUUCUACCGCUAUCUACUACGAACUUCAAAGAGGAGCCAGGAGUACGGGAGGAGCAUGAAAGUGGAUAAGGAGUGUGAUCAUUCAAGCACCACAGGGAGGGGGUUAGGCCUCCGGAUGACUGCAGGCCAGGCCUGGAGAAUAUCCAGCCUCCCACAAGAAGCUGGUGGAGCAGAGUGUUCCCUGACUCCUCCAAGGAAAGGAGACUCCCUUUCACGGUCGGCUAAGUAACGGGUGCCUUCCCAGGCACUGGCGUUACCGCUUGACCAAGGAGCCCUCAAGCGGCCCUUAUGUUGGCGUGACAGAGGGCUCACCUCUUGCCUUCUAGGUCACUUCUCACAACGUCCCUUCAGCACCUGACCCUAUACCCGCCGGUUAUUCCUAGGUUGUAUUAGUAAUGCCACAAAGAGUAAUAUUAAAAGCUAAUGACUAAUAUUUAUAAUAA
rnacentral:lncRNA from 10 species